CGUAGGUGGCAAGCGUUGUCCGGAGUUACUGGGUGUAAAGGGCGCGUAGGCGGGAAGAUAAGUCAGAUGUGAAAUUCCAUGGCUCAACUGUGGCGCUGCAUCUGAAACUAUUUUUCUUGAGUGAUGGAGAGGAAAGCGGAAUUCCUAGUGUAGCGGUGAAAUGCGUAGAUAUUAGGAGGAACACCAGUGGCGAAGGCGGCUUUCUGGACAUUAACUGACGCUGAGGCGCGAAAGCGUGGGGAGCAAACAGGAUUAGAUACCCUGGUAGUCCACGCUGUAAACGAUGGAUACUAGGUGUAGGAGGUAUCGACCCCUUCUGUGCCGGAGUUAACACAAUAAGUAUCCCACCUGGGGAGUACGGCCGCAAGGUUG
rnacentral:rRNA from 1 species